GAUGAACGCUGGCGGCGUGCCUAAUACAUGCAAGUCGAGCGAACAGACGAGGAGCUUGCUCCUCUGACGUUAGCGGCGGACGGGUGAGUAACACGUGGAUAACCUACCUAUAAGACUGGGAUAACUUCGGGAAACCGGAGCUAAUACCGGAUAAUAUAUUGAACCGCAUGGUUCAAUAGUGAAAGACGGUUUUGCUGUCACUUAUAGAUGGAUCCGCGCCGCAUUAGCUAGUUGGUAAGGUAACGGCUUACCAAGGCAACGAUGCGUAGCCGACCUGAGAGGGUGAUCGGCCACACUGGAACUGAGACAAGGUCCAGACUCCUACGGGAGGCAGCAGGAGGGAAUCUUCCGCAAUGGGCGAAAGCCUGACGGAGCAACGCCGCGUGAGUGAUGAAGGUCUUCGGAUCGUAAAACUCUGUUAUUAGGGAAGAACAAAUGUGUAAGUAACUAUGCACGUCUUGACGGUACCUAAUCAGAAAGCCACGGCUAACUACGUG
rnacentral:rRNA from 1 species